rnacentral:snRNA from 1 species
AUACUUAAACUUGCAGAGGAGAAACCAUGAUCCGAAGCUGGUUUUCCCAGGUGAGUUGAUCCAUCACCAUGCUCCUUCUUUCGAUUUUCCCAGAGGUGCAAAACUUGAGUGCACUAUUCAUGGGAGUAGGGAGACAAUAUAUUUGCACUAC